GUUAGCUUAGUAUAAUUGGAGUACAAAAGAUUGUAGAUCUUUAAGUAAGAUUUCUUAGCUAAAA
rnacentral:tRNA from 1 species